GAAAAACCCAGGCUCAGCAGUUUCCCUGCUGUCUACUUCUCAGAAAUUGUUCCACACUCCCAGGGCUGUAUUCCAGGUUUUUAUUGUGCACUUUAAAUUGGGCUAUCUCUCAACAGUUGCAUUUAAUUGGGUGAUUAUUAAAAACCUCGAGCAAGUUCAGUCACUCUCACCCAGAAAAUGCCCUGGUGUCCAACUUGAAGGCUUGAAUGAGACCAACCUUCUCUCAGGUCCACUGUCCUGCUGGGAGCUGCACGGUAGGGGGGAGCAAAGAUAGGGCUGUGGGUGGAUGUGUCCUCUUGUGGAGUUUGGAAACCACCUAAUGACAGCCCCCACCCAUUACCUACUUCUAAUCACGAAUGGACUGAAAAGCUUAACCCUUAUCACUGCUGCAGCAGAAAGCCAUUUGUCAUAUAUAGAUAUGCUGUGGGCAAAAUGCACACAAUCACAAGGGUAUGAGAUACUCUGAGGUGGGGAUCUUGUUUCAGAGCCAUGCUGUGUAACAAAAGGUACUGUUCUAGAACAGCCGCAGGAGGGUUCCUGAGAGAACUGAAAGGAAACCUUGCUUCCUGACAGAUGUGGCUACAGUGUCAAAAUCGAGUCUCAGAAUGCCCUUGGGAGCACAUAGCACAGACAGUGACUGGAACAUCUGUGGAAUCCCGAAUCCUUGGUUUCCGAGUGAGUGUGCGAACAUCCCACUGACUAGUUCCCUGCAAGUGCUGACGUCAGGGGCUACCUUCCCUAGUCAACUUCCCAUUAAUCCUCCUGCAGUGAGGAAGGAAAACUAGCUUUAGCUUAUGUUUUCAGAGACUCCAGUCCACAGUCAGCUAACUCUGCUGCCCUCUGCCCUGGGCUGAGGCAUCAAAGCAGGACACAUGGUGCACAGCUCAUUGAUCAUCCCAUGGCAUCAGGGGAGGGCAUUUUGAAGUCACUUCAAACAGGUCGUAAACAUUUUCCCCAUGUCAGCCGGGAACUCACAGAACACCAUCACCCCUUCUGCUUCUUCUCCUUCACUGCGGUUUUCCUACGGAGACAUCUGUCUGAUGCCACUGUAGUCCUCAGACCAUUGCUUCUGGAGUCCACUUUGUCUCUAGAGUGGCUAGAAACCCCCGAAUCACAUUUCUAGAGUCAGCCCUAACCAGCCACUGCCAGGAAGGAUACCCAGGUCGUAUUGGAGGACGGAACGACCAGGAACUUGGCAUGGUAUGCCAGCCCGCUGUGAGUGUAUGCUUUCUGAGCAUGGAUAGCCCCAGUGACCCCUCUCACCUGCUGUAUCUCCUUUGGUGGGGUGGGCAGAAGCCCUCGUCUGGCCAUCUGUGGCAGUGUCUCUGCCGAGGCUGAUGCUCCACAGACCCCUGGAAUCUCCACAUUCACUGACGUCUUAGGUGUGUGUGGCCUGUACAGCUUGCCUUCGUCUGGCCCCAGCUGUUCUCUUUCUCCUCUCAUGGGAUACUCCCCACCCUCAAGAGCCAGCCUUGCUAGCUGUGUUUUCCUCAGGUCUUAGCUGAGCAUAAUCAUCCCCCAACACACUGAGUGGGACAGACAAGAGGCCCUCUUGUUACACCAGAGGAAGCUGACCACAUCAAAUCACAGACAAGGUAUGUAGCCAGAAGUCAGAGGUGCAAGGGACAGAGCUCCCCGUCAGCUACAACCACCAUUCCCUUCCUAGAGGUUUCCCAAAGGCAUUCGGUACCCCUGAACCUACAAGACAGUAUAUAUACCCCCAACCUACUGGUCCCAGGCGGGCUUCACAGAACCAAGGGUCCUUGCAGCCCUGCCCACAGUGCCUCACGAGGAAAUGUGGUACUUUCUCAAGCCAGUGAGGCAAAGGUCACUGCUAGGGAGUUAAAUCUAGGGGCAGCAUCCCAGAUUUAAAGAGCAAGCCAUAAGGAAGGCUGCUCUCCACUUCCUCUGUGUGUUACCUCAUCAAAGUGUGAUGUCUAGGGCAUCCCAGCCCACAGGCAAAGCCGCACCAUAUACCAGUGAACAGAGAAACAACUGCUCUCCUCAGGCCGCUGAGGAGCUGAAGCUGCCAGCCCCCGGGCUCUCUGGAGCGUUUCCAUAGCUCAUGGCUCCCAGCUGAACACAGCCAGUCAGAUCUACUCCCGUUUCUGCUGCACCCCCAUCUCUCCCCUCUGUGCUUGCUGUGCAGUAAGUGUGUAAUAUUUGUGAACGUGUAGUGUGUCGGUGUCCCCUGUAGCAGACCGGGCAAUGAGACUUAAUGUGUCAUAUGAAGGGAGUGUUCCAGGGGACACAAAUAAGGGAGCAGAUAUAGGACAAGGGUUGGUGAGGGACAGCACUGGAGCUGGGCUGUCCUCACCCCCACUCUUCAGUAUCAGGCCAUGGCGUUCUCCAGGGACACAGGCACCCAGGCCUUUCCUCAGAGCAGCGCAAGCGACACUGGUCAGACUGUGUUGAAGCAAUAGCAGGAAGCAGCGAGGACCUAGGUGGGGCGCCAGCACUGUGUCUGUCAGUACAACUGUCUGUCUGUCUCAGGACCACUUUCCCAUGGGUGAUACUACCCACAGUGGGAUGGACCCUCCAAUUCUCAGUCAAGAAAGUGCCCGGCAGCACAGUAUCCAACAGACAGCAAAGCCAGGGCUGCCUCCAGACCUGCUGUCCCUUUCACCAUCCUUCCUAGGACCAGAGGGGAUGCCGCCUGCUCAGGAUGGACUCUAUUGAAAUCCACAUGCAGAGGUCCAUGGCACAUGAACGGGAGGCCCACCCUGCAUUAUCUGUAUUUUAAGUCAAUAUGAAGAUGGAUAUUCUACCCCUGAGAUGAAUUUUGUUAAAGUGCUUUUGUCAAUAAAAAGACACUCCUGUUAGAGUGUGCCAACUCCUGCUAUUGGCCUGGGGUCUGCUUCUCCACACACCAGGCGGCUCCAAGAGAGGCUUCCAACCUCCAGCAGCUCCUGGUCAGUCUGCAUAUUUCUUUAAGCCAUGUGAGUGAAAAAUAUCAAGGAAUGGUGAGUUGGCAUUCCAGGUGAGAGAGAAUGAAAAGAAAAGCGAACACAACUUAUAAACAAAUCUGGGAGAGCUUCAUCACCAUCCAUAGCAACUGCGUGUCUUCUGCUUCCAAGAUAGAAGAGCGGAAGUGUGGACCAUCUCUGAGCGUCUGCCCUGACUGCCUACCCAGCAGGUAUUGCCACCUGAAUCUUAGACGUAACCUCUUUCAAAUCUUUUUUCUUUUUUACUUCUAAAUUGUUUAUUGGGUAUGAAUUUUAUAAGCAUUACCUGUAUUUGCAGUAAUGGUAGAGCUGAAGAGUAUUCUAUGUCCCCAGGCUGCACGGUGAGAGCCACCAAUAGUGUGGUAAAACUGGUGUGACCCUUUUCAAGGUCACAGAUGUCAGCUCAGGCAUGCCUGUGUGUGUGUGUGGACUGGUUUGGUGAUCCAGUGGGUGUCGGGAUUUUUUUCUGCUAGCCUUACAGAAAGGAUUGCUUCCUUCCCAUCAGAAAGGGAGACACAGAGGCUCAGAGAUCUUAGCAUCAUUCACUCCUUAUAAUGCCCAAUGUUUGAAUGCCGGAUAAAUUUACCUAUCUGCUUCAUUGAUUCAUCCCACAAAGUGAGCUGUGACAGUGCAGUAGGACUCCGGGAUUUACCAGUGAACCAAACAGGCAUUCAAGUGGGCUCUCAAGAAAUAGCUGUAAUUAUUAAGGGCUGGCUAGACUGGGUUAGUCAGCCACUGCACUAGAAGGGAGGAAGCAAUAUAAGACUGAAAGUUCCAGUUUUAAACAGAGAGCUUAAAUCUGAACCAAACUGUGAGAGGGUUAGAGGAGUCAGAGGAACAGCUGUAGAGGAGAGGGAAGGAAUUUCCAGGCACUUACGGGGGCAAGCACUCGGGCAGGGAUGUGCCUGACUUAUUUGAAGAAAAAUGAGUGUCUGGGAUGAAGUGAGUUGAAUGUUCAUGGUUAAAUUAGAAGAAUGAGACUAAGCUUCCUGCAGUCCAUUUACCCCGCCUGCACCUCACAGAGUCUCUAGGAAGAGUAUACCAAGAAAGGACAGCAGCCUGGACGCAGCUGGCAGGGAGCAACAAGCCCGGGAGUUUUCAGGUAAAGAAGCCACUUGUAACUAGCAGUGUCCUGAUUGGACUCAGACAUACAAACUUGAGGCCUGGGAAACUUGUGGUGGGGUUAGAAAGACACCCCCUCCCAUUGGCUAAUUCUGGGGCCCUGGGAAACCCUAGCCUUGGGGCAAAGUCUGGAGUCUGUCUAUACAGGGAACCUACAGCAGUGGCAGGUGAGAAGAAAAUUUCAAAUUUGCAAUUUUCAAGUGUCAGAAUGAUAUUGUUCCACUCAUCUGAUGCCUGGCCUGAGAAACAGGUCCUCCUGGUUUCCAUCAACACGUCUGCUGGGUGAGGGUGGCCUUUGCUCUCUCAACCAUCCAGACCCUGACUAAGAAUGCCCGCUCCAACACCGGCUACCAGAGUACCCCACCCCAUGCACCCAAGGACAAGACCUAAGGUCUGCACAGUACUUCUAGAAGAUUCUAUUCUAAUCAGAGGCUCUCCUAACACCUCAGUUCAAGGUAUUGGAGAGACAGAAACCCACAGGUUAUCCUCUGAAAGGCAAACACAGGGCCCAGACUCCCCACCCAGGAAAGAUCAAUAUUCACCUGUGAGCAUUAUGUGUGGCCCAUGACAUAAGACCCUUUAUGCAACAGUUUGAAAGCAAGAACAGCCAAGAUGAGCAGAAAGAGAGAUAUUGGUCCUGGCAUGAGCAUCUAAGACCUUAAAGCCCGUCCCCAGUAACACAGUUCUUCCAACAAAGCUAUACCUCGUAGUGUCAGCCAGCAUUGAAGUGUCAGUUAUGUGGGUGAACCAUGAUGAAGGGGAUCCUCCCAGCCCACUCAUCCUCUGAAUGAUAGCAGCCCAGGUACACCUGCGCCUGCAGGCUCUCCAGGCAGAGCCACCCGCUGCUGCUGCCCUGAACUUAUACCCAGCAAAAGAUAGGGUGUCCAUUAUGCAGUCUCCCCUGACACUGGUGUCAGCGGAACUGUUAGACAGCAGUAGACAAUUAUUCCAAGCAGGUCUCAUCUUGAUGUGGUCACUUCUCAGACAACACACGUGAGGUCUUCCCCCCACCACCACACCACGUAUGGACUUCUCUGCAAAGCCCCCACAGAAGCCACUUGCUCUGUAUGAAACCUUGUCUUCAAAUAUGUGUAUAGAGUUCCAAGUCCUCAGAAGUUCAGACAGAAGAACUGCUGUGAGUUCUAGGCCAGCCUAAGCUACAUAGUGAACUUCACAUCAGCCUGGGCUACAGAGUAAAAUCUGUCUCCAAAAACAAAACAAAUGCUAUCUACAGCUGUCUCUUCCCUGGACUCUUAGGAGUGUUGCCCCCUCUAGGAAGCUCACUAGAUCCAGUCAGGGAUCCUUCCUCCACAUGCCUACAACCGUACUCUCUUGUUGUCCCUUCUUGGAAGACUUGCCACAUAGCCUCAGAGGGCCAGAGCCAAACAUGUUUUUUCUCCUAAGUGUUAGCUACUAGGAGGCUUGGUUCCACUACAGAUGACUCGCAGAGCUUUGUGAUCAGAAGACUUCAACACUAACCUAAGUUUUUACUCUCUGUAGGAUUAGUCAGUGAUAGCCUGGCCCCAUUUUAUCUCCCUGAUCUUAAUGUUUUUUUGCCCUGACUACCUCAUCUGUUUCAUCACUUUAUGUGUGUGGCCUUCUGCAAAUUGCAACAAAUCCUUGGUGACAUGAGGCAGCAUUAGCUCAUCUUCCCUGGUCUGAGAUGUGGGCAGAGAUUCUGAGUGGAGGAAGCAGACCCACUUCUGAGUGGGCGGCACACUCUUGACAUUCCUUUGACUUCUUAUCUCCUGCCUCACCUCCCCAAGGUGACAACAUUCUGUCUGGCAGGUGGGAUGUGAGGAGGGAACGCCCUCAGGAAGUGUAGGCCUCACCACACCUCACCAGCACAGUCAUCUAUAGCUGUUGAACUGUCACACAUGGUCACCAUCCAGAUCCAAGGCUUUUCCUUAAGGAGCCCAGCAACCUAUGAAAGGAGUUUGCCUUCCCUGGAGCAAUGCUAGAUGCCCGGUUCAAGGCUCAACCACACCAAGGGCACAGACUCAACUGUCACUAACCCCACAGCAGGGAAGAAGCACACUGGCUUAGGAUCCCAGGCAAGAUAACGCCACCAACUACAGUGAUCUGGUGCAGAAGAGGAUUUUUUUCUUUCUGCUGGGAGGUUACAUUGUAGCAGCCAUCAUGGUAAGAAGUCAGUGUCUUUAAGAUGAGCCGGCUAAGGGCCUACCUCUAGCUCUCUGACCAGCAAACACUCUUUGAUUUCAGUUAGCUUCUCAUGUCAUGGGCAGCAGGGGAGAGCAUGUGAACAGAAAGGAUGCCAAUGGGCUGUUUUCUGUGGUACCCUUUUUCUUUUUUAUUAGAAAGCCAAGCUUCCGGUCUCAUGUGCAUGUGCAUAUACACACAAACACAGGCACACACACUCACAAGGACUCCGAAUGCUCCAGGUCCCCAUCCAUGGUGAAUAGAAUGUAGAUUGUGAGUCCCAUCUCAUAGGUAUGGAUUGAGCCAAUCCCUAGGCAAAGCCUCCAUGGUUUCAUUCCACCCCUUUGGCACAUGGAAGCCCUAAAGCUGAGUCAGGGUGGGUAAGCACCCAAGAUCCACCCAAAGAAAUGACUCCUGUGCUGGGUAGCACACAUCUUGGAAGGCUAAAGGGCAAUUGUAAGCUUGAGACCACCCUAUGCAACAGCAAACCUCUCCAAAAAACCAAAAAGCAAAAACAACUUCUGUCCCAGGGUUUACAGGAAUAACAUCAGAGUCUGUAAAUUUUUGGUAAAAAUUUAAAAAAUAAGUAAAUAAAAACCCUCAGGGAACCCACACCUUAGCCAGCAAUGGAGCCACACAGACUUCCCCAUUAGACUGGGAAGCUUAAUAUCUAAUACUGUCUUUAUUGUCCAAUCACUUUCUAGCUAUUUUAUUAAUCACACUGGAGAGUCCAAAUUUGUUACUCCUUAAUAAAUACAGUGUGUCUAGUUAACAAAAUGUUUACAAAGACAAGGACCAGUGGGUGGUAAUAAGGCUAAACUUUAUCCUACAGAGCUGAGAACCACCAGGCCACCACCCUCUGGGAGGGAGAAACGGGACAAAGUCACACUUUCUCAAGCCUCAAAUUGCUCUGAAACUUUUAGAAUGUUCUGUAGUUUACGGUUGCCUGUUGUAUCUUGAAUUAUAAAAGACAGUCUCUUUUAGAGUCUAUUUUUUUCUUAAUUCAAUCAAACCACUGUGAAUGAAGAGUCUGGCCCUUAAAGUCAGUAUGACACCUGAGUAUGACGUCAGCUUUUUCAUCUGCUAAGUGGGAGGAAGAGAGGGGGAGGCUUACACAACUGCCCGGUCACAUCAGCAUUUUCUCCUUACUCGAUUGUCUCAAAAGUCUAGUGAGAGAGGUAUUUUUCUCCUUUUAUGACAAAAUUAUUGUUUGGAGAGAGUAAAAGAUUCACCAAAAACAACUGACGUAAAACCAAUCCGACAGCUGGGUUCAGAACCAUGGACAGAGGCAGGGGUCUGGCGUCUUCUAGGUGAGCCAGAGAAGUAAAGAGCGUGGGAGUGGGUGCUGUCUCUCUGGGGAGAAAGGGGGCUGGAGUGAGGUCGACACAUUGCCAUAACUUAUUCUGCCUGCAUCACGCUGGGCUCUUCAGAAUUUCUUCUGUCCUCCCAUCCAGAGGAUAUGCAAUGCCAUUCCCAAACAGCCACCCAGCAUGUGUGUAAGAGUAGACGAAAGGAACAGUUAUCUAAAGCCCAUCGAAACCCACUCUUGGAAGCACCAGUAAUAGGCAAAACCCUGGAGCUCCAUGCCUAGCAGAUGGGUGGCUGUUUCUCAUGUGUAGCCUCCAGCAGGACUCCUUGCUUCUAAAAAUGGUGAUGCUUCCUUUCUCCUUGUGGCUGGCCACCUUCUGACUUGGCUUCUAUAGUUGCUGUGUUUAUCACAUCGAAAUAAAGGAGGAAACUCAGGAGCAAAUGCUCAGAUAGUUAAUCAAGCUAAGUUUGGAGAGGCACGUGUCACCUUUACUCAGACCAGAACUCAGCCCUCAGCAUAUAUAGACAUAUAGAGAAGAUAGUUAGGCAUAUAGAUAGACAGGCAGAUGAUAAAUGGGUGAGCAGGUGGGUACAUAGAUAAUAGGUAGGUAGAUGAUGGAUGGAUACGUGGGUGGGUGAAUGGACAGACAGACAGAUGGAUAUAUAUCAAAGCCUGUCUUCACAGUGCUGGGAUUUCUUGUUUAGCCAUUGGGCCAAGGCCUGCAGAUUUUUAAAAAUUAUUUUUUAUGUAUAUCUGUGCACCCGUGUGCAUCUCUGGUGCCUCCAGAGGUCAGAAGAGGGUGUCAUGUCACCUGGAAUUUCAUUUACAGAUGUUUAUGAGCCUCCUGUGGCUAUUGAGCAUCUUACCCAGGUACUCUGGAAGAGAAAUGCUCUUGACAGUGUCUCUGUCUAGCCCCUCUCAGGAAUAUUUUGAUAUGGAAAUUAUAGUUCCUUCCAUUGCAAGAAACAGAAAGGGCUCACCAGUCUUAAAUAAGAUAGUAAGUCACUGGCUCAUGUGUGUAAGACUGGAUCACAGCAUGACUCAGACUUCAACAUCUUCCCAGGGAUACCUGGACUGUCUCUCAUUCGUGUCCUCCAUGACUGCUCUCAGACAAGCUCCUCCACCACUCAAUAUGGCUGACAACUGCUCCUGGCAUAUGUUUUUAUCAGUGAUCCUAAGAGAUUUUUUUCCCCUCCAUAAAAAUUCCAUGGUAUAUCCUGUUGGUACUAAGUGUCCUAAUUAGGUCCCAUAUUCCAUGUGAUCAAAAAGAUGGUGCCCUUGUCCAGACCUAGGCCAUGGCAGCCCUGGAUAUGGGAGAGGCCUGUUCUGUAUAAUGCAGACAAGCUAAAACAGAUACAGGCAGCUCCCCUGGAAGCCACCAUUACUGCUGUCUCCCAAUGGGGAAGACUGGUGCCAGGCAAGCCUGGACUGACACCAUCACAUCAGCCUUCCUCACGAUGGCUGUGGGCGGGCUGCAGUCAUGUGAGGCUUGAAGCUAUCUGCAGAGCUGUGGAAGCAGCAGGUUGUCUCCCCACCCAUCCUCUCCGUGCUUCACCCAUUCACUGGUCAUGUGACAGCACAGCUCUCCAGGUUCCUGUUAGAAGGCAAGGAGUGUGUUUGGCCCCUUUGCAUAGACUCCACCAGAAGUCUUUCUCAAUAUCUUUACCACACCCUGCAAGGUUAGAGCAUGCCUCCAAACCCCUCAGAGACCUUAGGAGAUAACAACUCCUAAAGCCUUCCGGACCUCAAGAGCCAUGAACCAGGAAAUCAGUUCAUCAUUUUGUGGAUAUGUGAGUGUGAAGGCCUUCAUUAAACCACCCAAGGAGGCCCAUCCUGAAGUGGGUCAGCAGCACCAGGGGCAGCUUCUCUAGCAUCCAGAUAGAUGCUUCAAGUAUUUGAUGAUAGGAUUCCAUGCACCAGUUUGCAUUGUGGAGAAACAAGAAGCUUUGGGUCAACCUGACAUGAUAGCUUUGUCAACGUUUCUCAAAGAGGACUCCUUGUUACACGGAGUGCAGCAGUCAGUUUUUGUUCCUUUAAAGG
rnacentral:sRNA from 1 species